GGGGCUGUAGCUCAGUGGUAAAGCACUUGCCUAGCAGGCAUGAGGCUCUGGGUUUGAUCCUUAGCACCA
rnacentral:tRNA from 1 species